rnacentral:lncRNA from 1 species
UUUUCCCCAAUAGGUGGCGCUUCUGAAACACAGUAUUUGUUUUUAUUUUUAUUUUAUUUGAGAAACCCCCAAAUUUGCUCUGAUGGCCUUUCUUCUCCAUUUGUCAUCUCUGGGAACCUUGAGUCUAGAUUUAGGGCUGAAAGUCUCUCUGCUAGGAGCUUUCCAAAAUGCAUUGCUUUGAUUCUGGGAACUGAAUAGGAGGAGAACACCUGGACUACUCUGAGUCCUGAGUUCAAUUCCUCCUCAACUGGUUUCCUUGAAGGUGGCUGUACUGGUCAUCUUCUCGAUCCUUGAGGGGCUGGUAGAGCUGGUCAUUGGGCAACAGAGUCUGCUUGUCUGAAGCUCUCGACUGGCGAACUCCAUCCUGUCCAGCAAUGAAGUAGACCCCAACAGCAAGGACGAAAAUGCUGACGAUUUCAGCAAAGAGAAAGCCAGAUAUGGUGGCUGCAUUUAGUUCAAUGCAGUUCUGACACAUUCUGUAAUACACUUGGAGUGGUUUUGACUUGUUCUGUGAUCCUUUACACUGAUACAUCCCUCGAGGGUCCUUGGCAUUACUUCCCAGAUUCCAUUUUUUUUUAUCUUCAGUUAGGAAGCCGAUCAUCUUCCCAUCUUUAAACCAUGUGAUAUUUUUGGCUUCUGCAUCACAAGUCAGAAGUACCGAACCAUCUUCUUGAUAGUCAUACACCUUAACCAAGUGGUUUCCUUUGAUUGACUGGGCCAAAGUACCUUGAAGAAGAAUGAUAGCCAGGAUGAGGACAGCCAGGCCCUUCCCCUGUUCCAUGUCAGUCUCUGUCCUCCGGCAAAAGCGUGGAGCAGCCC